AAUAUUAGACAAUUGGGUCAAUCCUGAGUCAGCCAUCUCGCGUGUGGGAAGAAGGUCUUCGGUUUAUAAAGCACUUUAAGGUGGGAGGAAGUGCUUUAGGCUCAUACCCUAACGUUUUGACGUUACCAACAGAAUAAGUACCUGUUAACUCUGUGCCAGCAGCCGCGGUAAUACAGAGGGUGCAAGCGUUAAUCGGAAUUACUGGGCGUAAAGCGCGCGUAGGUGAUUCAGUAAGAUGGGUGUGAAAUCCCCGGGCUUAACCUGGGAACUGCUUUCAUAACUGCUGAGCUAGAGUAAGGUAGAGGGUAGUGGAAUUUCCUGUGUAGCGGUGAAAUGCGUAGAUAUAGGAAGGAACACCAGUGGCGAAGGCGACUACCUGGACUGAUACUGACACUGAGGUGCGAAAGCGUGGGGAGCAAAC
rnacentral:rRNA from 1 species